ensembl:misc_RNA Metazoa_SRP Metazoan signal recognition particle RNA
GCUGGGCGUGGUGGCGGACGCCUGUAAUCUCAGCUACUCGGGAAGCUGAGGCAGGAGAAUCGCUUGAACCCGGGAGACUGAGGUUGCAGUGAGCCGAGAUCGGGCCAUUGCACUCCAGCCUGGGCAAUAAGAGCGAAACUCUGUCUCAA